UACGCUGGCGGCACGCCUAACACAUGCAAGUCGAACGCAGUAGCAAUACUGAGUGGCAAACGGGUGAGUAUAAUGUGGGAAUCUGCCUUUUGGUUUGGAAUAACACGGGGAAACUUGUGCUAAUACCGAAUAAGCCCUUACGGGGAAAGUUUUAAUGCCGAAAGAUGAGCCCGCACUUGAUUAGCUAGUUGGUAAGGUAAAAGCUUACCAAGGCAACGAUCAAUAGCUGUUCUUAGAGGAAGACCAGCCACAUUGGGACUGAGACACGGCCCAGACUCCUACGGGAGGCAGCAGUGGGGAAUCUUGCACAAUGGGGGAAACCCUGAUGCAGCGAUGCCGCGUGAGUGAAGAAGGCCUUUGGGUUGUAAAACUCUUUCGUCGGGGAAGAAAAUGACUGUACCCGAAUAAGAAGGUCCGG
rnacentral:rRNA from 1 species